rnacentral:rRNA from 1 species
UACGUAGGGUGCAAGCGUUGUCCGGAAUUAUUGGGCGUAAAGAGCUCGUAGGCGGUUCGUCGCGUCGGCUGUGAAAACCUGAGGCUCAACCUCAGGCCUGCAGUCGAUACGGGCGGACUUGAGUACUGCAGGGGAGACUGGAAGUUCCUGGUGUAGCGGUGAAAUGCGCAGAUAUCAGGAGGAACACCGGUGGCGAAGGCGGGUCUCUGGGCAGUAACUGACGCUGAGGAGCGAAAGCGUGGGGAUCAAACAGG